rnacentral:rRNA from 1 species
GACAGAGGUCCCGAGCGUUAGGCGGAAUCACUGGGCUUAAAGCGUGUGUAGGCGGCGGCCUAAGUACCUUGUGAAAUCCCACGGCUCACCCGUGGAACUGCUCGGUAUACUGGGUCGCUUGAGCCACUUAGGGGCUACCGGAACAAAUGGUGGAGCGGUGAAAUGCGUAGAUAUCUGGAGGAACACCGGUGGCGAAGGCGGCAUCCUGGACCGGUAUUGACACUGAGGCGCGAAAGCCAGGGGAGCAAACGGG